rnacentral:rRNA from 1 species
UACGUAGGGCGCAAGCGUUGUCCGGAAUUUAUUGGGUCGUAAAGAGCUCGUAGGUGGUUUGUUACGUCUGCUGUGAAAACCUAGGGCUUAACCCUGGGCCUGCAGUGGAUACGGGCAGACUAGAGGUAGGUGAGGGGAGAAGUGGAAUUCCCGGUGUAGCGGUGGAAAUGACGCAGAUAUCGGGAGGAACACCGGUGGCGAAGGCGGUUCUCUGGGCCUUACCUGACACUGAAGAGCGAAAGCGUGGGGAGCGAACAGG